UGCAAGCGUUAUCCGGAUUCACUGGGUUUAAAGGGAGCGUAGGUGGGUUGGUAAGUCCGUGGUGAAAUCUCCGAGCUUAACUUGGAAACUGCCAUGGAUACUAUCAGUCUUGAAUAUUGUGGAGGUCAGCGGAAUAUGUCAUGUAGCGGUGAAAUGCUUAGAUAUGACAUAGAACACCAAUUGCGAAGGCAGCUGGCUACGCAUAUAUUGACACUGAGGCUCGAAAGCGUGGGGAUCAAACAGG
rnacentral:rRNA from 1 species